CCUACGGGAGGCAGCAGUAGGGAAUAUUGCUCAAUGGGGGAAACCCUGAAGCAGCAACGCCGCGUGGAGGAUGAAGGUUUUCGGAUUGUAAACUCCUUUUGUUAGAGAAGAUAAUGACGGUAUCUAACGAAUAAGCACCGGCUAACCCCGUGCCAGCAGCCGCGGUAAUACGUAGGUGGCAAGCGUUGUCCGGAUUUACUGGGUGUAAAGGGCGUGCAGCCGGGCCGACAAGUCAGAUGUGAAAUCCGCGGGCUUAACCCGCGAACUGCAUUUGAAACUAUUGGUCUUGAGUACCGGAGAGGUCA
rnacentral:rRNA from 1 species